GCGGGGCGGGCUCCCGCCCGGGCGGGCACGUGGGGCCCCUUCAUGUUCGGCGUCGGGGCGCCCCACGCCAGCCCCCACCCCCGCCUCGGCCCCGUGGCGGUGGUCGGUUGGGAGAAGGACCAAAACCCACCACGCGCCGCUGUCAAAGUCACGGCUCUGCUCAUGGUUUCUGGGAAGUGCUAGAAACAUGGCCAUAAAGAGAAUGGCGUCCAUUUACAUAAUGCUUUGUCUGCAUUUUGCAACUCUCUUUCGUUAAACCUGCAGAACCCCCACCUCCUGCGCGGUGUCGUUUUAGUCGCUGCCGCCUCGUCAGACAUUUAACACAAUGGCGUGCAUCUUGGGGGACCGCAUUUACCCCUGCCCUGGGGAGCUCCUGCGGUUUUCCCUGCGCGAGUUACUCUCCCGCUGCUGCUCUUCGGCCCUUUCCCCGCUCGGUGCAGCCACGGCGCCCACGCUCUCCGGGGGCGGCCCCCAACAGGGCCCGCCAUCUUGGAGGGCCUUUCUUGCCGCGUGUGGAGCCGCGCGUUCCUCCCGGUAAAGAAAGGUCUCUGGGGCCCUUGGGGCGCCAGUUGUGAUUUCUGCCCCUUCCCCUUUUCUUCGGCUGAGCCAGACAGAAAAGGCCGAGUGCGCGGGGUGCUUCAGGAUCCUUCAGGGAAAGCGGCUAACGUGGCGGUCCUUCCCCCCCCUUUCUUUCCCGUGGGGGUGGCCGCCAUGUUUCCUGAACACAAAAUGGCGACACGUGGCCUAUAUUCGUCGCCAACGAGUCGGGCUGAAAGCUCUAGAACGCGGCCGCCCCCCCCAUUCCCCCCUCCCGUCCGUGAGCCGGGGCCUUCCCCGCGCAGCGAGUGCGCUGACCAGAUUGGGAUGAAACCCCGCAGGCUGGUCCCAGCCUCAGCGGGGGAAUUUUAAUACAUUUCUCUCAUUAAUUUGAAACGGGAACGCAAAUAACUGUAAAAUGUAGUCAUCAUACCGAGUCUUUCGCUCAUUUCGUUUAAUAAUGGAUGGGGGGGGCAGUACCAAUGCAUAAUUUGGGCCCUCAGUACCAAAACAUUUAGGAAUCACUACUUGUAAAGAAUGAGAUGGGAAAUUAUUUCUUUCCUAGACUUCUAGAAUAGGCUAUUGUGCUAAAGAGGUAAAGAAAUGGUAUUAUAAUGCUUCUUUUAAAAGAAGGCAAUUUCCAUGAAGCGACUGGGAUACCUAUGAGCUGGCCAGUGAACCUCAGUUUGCCAUAGUUGUUGACUUGGAGGCUAGAAGGGACAGACAUUUACUGUGCAUUUACCAGUGCCAGAUCCUGUGCUAGCCAUUUUACUGCAUAAUGUCUUUAAUUUUUACAAUGACCCUGUGAGGUACGUCUUAUCUCUCUUUUUUUUUAGCAGAUGAAAUCACUUAGGCCAGAGAGAUGCAGUGACUAAUUCAAGGUCACACAGUGUUGAGGAUGGAAUCCAGACCUGAUACAGUUAUUGAGCCGCCCAGUAUGUGACUGUGUGAGGCAUGAGGCGCAGCAGGCUGUGAUACAGACUGAUGGUGACCUCAGCUUCUGUGACAGCUUCAGUUACCAUCUAUACGUGGAUGAUGACCAAAUCUCUCUCCAGACCAGAAUAUCCAACUGUUCACGUGGACAGCUCCACUGGGAUGUUUUGAAGACUCAGCAAAAUGCAGCCUUCUGCUCUUCCCCUCUUGCUCUUCCUCCAGUGUCCUGUCAUGUGAUCGCUGAGAGAGAAGUCAAGAUGCAGGCCCACUUUGCUUCCUGUGUUAACAUGGGCCUUGUUGAGACCAUUCAGUGAGGUCUUCAUUAUAGUGUAACUCGCACUAUCAAAACACCACUGGUAACUCUGGUGUACUGUUUAAGAGGCCCUGUCACACCAUCCAAAUAAAACCUGUUGAUGUGUUCCAAGGAAUAAGCCAUGAUGGCGGCAGAGGUAAGAAGUGGAUUUAUUUAGAGAGAAACACACUCCACAGGCAGAGUGUGGGCCAUCUCAGAAGAUUGCCAAUCCUGUAGAAUGUACAUAAUCCUGAGGCUGCUGGUGACCGUCUUGCUGUCCCAGGGGGAGUUCUGAAGCCAACACAGAUGAAAACUGAGCUGCAAGAUCGAAAGAGAUGGAGACUAAAUGACAUCUUUUGAGCACCAGGAUCUAACCAUACCUUAAGCUAGUCUAGCUCUGGAUAUCUCUUUUACAUGGGUCUAGGCUUUCCCUUUUUUUUUCCUUUUGAAAGUGUGAUUUGGAUUUUUGUCAUCUGCAGCCGGUUGAGUGCUAAUUCAGGUCAUCAUGAAUUAUAUAUAGUUCUCACUGUAAA